rnacentral:lncRNA from 1 species
GUAAAAACAAAUCGGUCCAGCAGGAGCUUCACAACUAUAGUUGGAUACGUUCGCUACGGGGCAGGAUCACCUCCGCUGUCCAAGUCGAGGAGUUUGUCUCCCUUUGGAUAAGGUUACAAAGCAUCCAGUUGACACCGGGCGUUCGUGACUCCAUAAUCUGGAGGUGGACAGCCGAUGCUUCUUACUCCACCCGUUCAGCAUACAGGAUCCAAUUCCAAGGUUCCUAUGACGGGUUCCGUAGCGAACUCAUUUGGAAAGCACAUGCUGAGAAUAAAGGAAAGGUGUUUGCUUGGAUAAUGGUGCGAGAAAAAGUCUUAACAGCGGAUAAUCUUCAGAAGAGAGGAUGGCCUCACCAGGACCAAUGCGCCUUAUGCAACGGACCUUUAGAAUCAUGCCUUCACCUAUCACUCCUCUGCCCAUUCGCCAAGACAGUAUGGAACCAAGUUCUUUCAUGGGAGCAUUUCGAUGCACAGUUGAUCUGUCCCACUCAAGACCCACCUAACCUGAAGUCUUGGUGGCAAGAGGCCGCAAGCAAAAUAGCGAAAGAAGAAAAAAGAGGCUUCAACGGGUUGGUCAUCUACACACUAUGGAACAUAUGGAAGGAAAGGAAUAGGAGAAUUUUUAACAACAUCCAGGAGUCAGCAAUGCAAGUGGCACUAAGGGUAAAGGAGGAGAUCGAGCAAAGGAAAAGGGCUUUAGC